UCGCGCUGCCCAGGUAGAAAAGAAAAAGGGGACGGCCAACCCUAGCCGCCAAACCACGCGCUCCCUCGCUCGCGACCUCCUCCUCUCCGCCGCCGCCGCCGCCGCCUCGCUGGGCCACCGGUGCCACGCCGCGCGACCUCCUCCUCUCCGCCUCCGCCGCCGCCGCCGCCUCGCUCGGCCACCGGUGCCACGCCGCGCGACCUCCUCCUCUCCGCCGCCGCCGCCUCGCUGGGCCACCGGUGCCACGCCGCUGCUACGCUUUGCCUCACAUCUGCUCUGCGUUCAUCUUCUGGUCGGCCUAAGGUGAGGGCUGGAGCUUGCGUUGGCGGAGCUCACGGUGGUCGGCGGUCCUAGAUACGUGCAGUGGUUAUGCUCCUCGGCCAGAGCAUGGCGUCGCGCCGGCAACCUCGGCAUCCCAAAUAUACAGGAUUGCAGGUGUGUCCGUGUGUACAGAAGCUGCUUGUGUAAAUGCCUAUGGGUAAAGACUACUCAUGGAAGAUGACUAGGUCAGAGGUUGUGCUUCUUUUGGUGAUUAUUCUAGCUUUUGGUUUUAAAAAUAAUGGAGUAGCUGGUUCCAUGGUGCAUCAGCUAAUCUGGAUUUGAUUGGCAGCUAAACAUUCUAUGUAUGCUCAUCCCGGCCUAUAGCAUUAAACUAUUGGGACAACUAUAAAACCCGUCUGACCCGUUCUCUCUCACUCUUGGGUUCGUCGAGAUAUGUUAUCAUCGACUGGAGGUAACCCAUAUUCCUCUGUUUUGUUUCAGCAAGCACUGCAUUAAUUUUACAUGAAUGUUUACUAUCGUGUAUCAAAAGAAGAUCAAGAAAUUAUCUCGCAAUAGUAGAAAUUUUUCCUUGAUGGUACACCUCCAAAAUCUUUUCUGUCGUUCAGUGCAUUUUCUUCUAUUUUGUAAUACUAAUUUGUGCUGGUUGUAUCUUUGACUAAUAAAAAUAUCUUGAUAUUUGCAGGUUAGCCUUGAUCGUGUAGUUACCUGUAUUUUGUGUUGACCAUUGUCAUUUUGGCCAGCAGUUUCCCUAUUUGGGACUAUAAUUAGUUUGGUCAGAUGGUCCAGCGGCAGUUAUGCUGGUUGUAUCUUUUGGACUUUGUGAUUUGUCCACAAAUUACCGGCUUGAGAGGCUUUUCUCCAUCGACAUGCUAUAAGUCAGGACUAGAAAGGCUUGCUUGAAUUUCUUGGGUGCUUCUAUAGUCGUAUUCUGUUUUUCAUCUUUUUCCUCAUGGAUUCAUGGGCGAUUGUUCAAUUUUUUGAACAUGGUUAUAGAAUAUUUAGAGUAACUAGGAGUUAGACCUGAGGACUAUUUGAUCCAAGCUUCCGUAUAGUUUGAGGUAGAAAAGGCUGAAUACAUCAAUUUCCUAAAGCAGGUCAGACUUGCAUCUAUUUGUGAUAGGUGAGAAUCAAACCUAUAGCUUGUGCGAUGCAUAUUCUGUUUUAAUAGAUUGUCCCGGCAUUAAAUGAUGCAUAUUUUUGGUCCUGGUUACUCUCAUGUACACAUAGGAUUAUAUUGUUGAAACCUAUUAGGUCUCGUUAGGGAACUUAACAUUCCUCUUUAUUAGUUUCUACUGUUCAAGCUACCUAUUGAUGCAGAUUUUUUUUGCCAAUGCAGAAUGCUACUGUUGGGCAUGCUUCAGUGUGCGUGCAAAAAGUUAGAUACUCCUGAAUGCUGAUUGGGAUGAAGCACGUACUUCUUUGGAGAGCUGUGCUGACUGUUGGGCAUGUCUUGGUCCGCGUACUGAAAUAUUUGUGGUGAUCGCGUCGUGGAAAAAAUAAAGCACCAAAAGGGAAAGAUGGGCAAUAGGCAACAAGAAUGUUACCAAGCGAUAAAGCGAUGGCCUCUUGUCCUCCAUUGCAGCCGCCAGCCGCCGCCGCCCCUCCCUCCGUCGCAGCCGCUAGCCGCUCCGGCCGCUCGUGCUCCUCCGUCGCAGCCGCCAGACGCCGCCGCCUCCCCUCCCUCCGUUGUCUCCGCCAGCCACCGCCGCCCCCUCCCCCCACCCCCUCCCCUCCGUCACAGGGAUCACCGGGAGAGUCACGAACGAAAGGAUCGGCCGGAGUGUCGCUGGGAUCGCCGGGAGAAUUCAGCACCUACCCCCUACCUGACGCGGACGCAUUUCUGGCUCCUCUUUCACGUCGCCUCCUUCGAUCGUCGGACAACAAGCUGCGAGAAGAAGCUCUAUGAUGGGUGCAUUUGAAGUUUGAUCAUCGAGAGAGUCCAGGCUCACAACAUUGGAUAUCUUUGGUCUGCGUGUAGACUAUGUAUGUCUCCAGGAGAAGUUUGGGUUAAAGAGACAGCAGAUUGAGAUACAUGAGAUUGGUGCUGACUGCUAGGAUAUCUUUCAACAUGGAUGACUUGCUUUCUACCUGAAACACCUGCAUGAUCUAACACCAGGGAGACAUCGUUCACCCUUGAGAAGAUGGCACUGAACAAGGCUAAGAGGUACCUGGAGGAUGUCCUUGCUCGCAAGCAAGCCAUUCCCUUCCAUAGGUACUGCCGUGGUGUUGGACGUACUGCACAAGCUAAGAACUGCCAGCCAAAUGGUCAUGGACGCUGGCCAGCCAAGUCUGCUCAGUUUGUUCUGGAUCUUCUCAAGAAUGCUGAGAGCAAUGCUGAGGUCUGCGAUCUUAUUGUGCCCCCCAAUUGCAGCCUACAUGUCUAACCCGUGCCACAUUGAACUCAUCUUAUCCGAGAAGAGCCACUAAAUAAAGAGGCUGAGUCCGAGAUUGCACCCAGGAAGGCCUAGAGGAAGAAAGCUUGGCUUAAUUGUCCGCUUAUUCGUUAGAGCAACUUGUAGUAUCUGGUUUUGGCAGAGUGGAAAUUUUUGCCUGUUAUCAUAUGUCAUCGUCUAAAUACUGCUAGAUAAUACUUUGUGAACCAUUGAUGACCCUCCUGUGUACCAGAUCGAAUCUGGUUGUGUUUUGGGAUAUUUUUCAUAUUGGUAUCUCAGUAUCUAUCUUUCAGUUUA